CGAGUGGACCGGAUGGUCGCUGGCCGCGUCGCCUCGGCGGCGCGACGAGAGGAAAGUCCGAGCUCCGUAGGGCAAUGGUGCUGGUUAACGGCCAGCGGGGGCGACCCCAGGGAAAGUGCCACAGAAAGCAGUCCGCCUCCCGGAGCGCGAGCUCUUUGGAGGUCAGGGUGAAAGCGUGAGGUAAGAGCUCACGGACGCCCAUGGUGACAUGGGAGGUCGGUAAACCCCACCUGGAGCAAGAUCGAUCGUGGGGCUGGCCUUCGGGCCACGGACGGCCCGUCCGAGUCUCCCGGGAAGCAUCGCUCGAGCGGCGGAGCAAUCCGUCGCCUAGAUGAAUGACCAUCGCCGGCGGGUCGGGUGACCACCCGUCGGGACAGAACUCGGCUUACAGGCCGCUCGCUCU
rnacentral:RNase_P_RNA from 1 species